CCUGCGGGGUAGGUGGGCUAUCCGGACGUGGCCGAACGGAGAUCUUCGCUUCGGAAGUGCUCCGAGUCCAGUAGAGUCCGGCUGUUGCCGCCUCUUCUUAACAGUGCGAAACCGCGCACUGGUGGCUGCACUGGCUGUAGCGGCGACCGUGCGCGCAGGGUGAAGCAAGAGGUGGAGAGUGACUCAAGGAGACCUGAUUUUCUUGAAUUUUCUGCAAUUCUGUAAACCCCAACAGGCUCUCCAGGCGUUAAAGUAAUUUGCGGGUGGCAGUGUAGAAGCCAAACCAGGGGCUUCCAGAAGUGAUUGUUGAAAAAUAGAGUUGAAUGUACAAGCACAGGAAUCUGAAAAACAACAAAAAACAAAGCCCGUAACCACAGGUAUGUGGGGGAAUUAAUCCACCUACCCAGCUUUAUAAUGAAUUGCAUCCAGUAAAGCUAACCCAUUUGCUUUUAUGCUCAAUAUUUUGACAUUUAUAUAGACUUUAAUAAAGGGAAACACGAGAAGGUAAUUGUAGAGAAGAAAACAACACUAAUCUAGUUUAGAUAAUAUAUUCAAAUAAAAAUACUGCCUUUUUGUUACCAGACUUUACUGUUCUAAAAGAGAAACCAUUUCAUCUUGGAGAUUAUGAAUCUUUGCUUUUAAAAAUCAAUUGUUUUGAACAGUUUUCAUUUGGGGGUGCUGUAAUGAGCUGAUAUAAUUGCAAUAUCUGCCUUUAAUAAAUAAAACUGCAGUUUUGUUAACUUGAUGACACCUAGAUAAGGAGUUUAGACAUGUCAGGACAUUUCUUUUAAAGUAGCCUUUCUGUUUUUAGCCUUCUUGUCACUUUUCUCCUACUCUAGGGCUGUUUUUCUAGCCUACUAAUUUGCUCACUUAAUUGAAAUAAGGAUAGGUUAUAUGCAGAUCAGAGACAAUCAAGUUUGUGGAGUUAUUCAGUGUGACAUCAAAAGGAUUUGACUGAUUAUCAUUACAAUGUGAGGUUUGCAUAUUAAGGUACUUAAUAUGCACAUUGUUAUGAAUGGUUGAAGAGAAGCCAGGGAAAGGGAAUGAGUUCACCUUUCUGUGAAUUUUUGUUUUCUUUCGGGAGAGUGGCACUUUCCCAGGAAAGCUGACAUUCCUGUUGGCUGUGUAAGGGUCAGACAUCAAAAUGGCUGCUCUCAUAGAAAUCAAAAUGAAGGUUUCUGUACUAGGGAGAAGGGGGGAGGAGGUACACAUUCAUCACAGUGUAGAAAUGUAAUGGGAGCUUCAGAUUUUAUUUCAUUAUUAGGUUUUAAAAAAUAAAACCCUAGAGAUUUGCAAAUGCCAGGCAAGUCCUCUCUCUACCACUGAGCCACAACUUAGCCCUACUUUGUGGUGUUUGACAUUUUGCUUUUAUAGCUGGGGAGGGAUUUGUUUAGCCCCUGCUGAUGAGGGUAUAAAACCAAACUGUUCUUGAAGGUUAAAACAAUUAAAUUGGACACUUAACUAGCAGAAAGCAAAUUGAGAUAGCUUGUCUUUUGAAAAAUAAACCAAAUGAAGGCAGAAAGAUUAUCAUUCUCAGGACAAGAGCGGACUCAGUAAAGCUUGGACAUUUAGGAACAGUGAAAUUUCCUUUGGAUAAGACUUCAACCAAUCAUCUGACUUCAGGAAACUGGGAAGUAACUUAUGAUCCCCAUCUUGUCUGGGAGGAAUGGGGGACUAAUCUAAGGUGGAAAGGGAAAAAAGCAAGGUUAACAUUUUUUUUUAAUUAUAGCAUGCUCACAGAGACAGGUGCCUUAUAAAUAUUUUACAUUUGAAAUAUAAAAAACAUACAAUAAAGUGUGCAGUAUACUAAUCUAAAGUACACUGUUUAAGUUAUGUGCACAUAUACUAGGUUACAAAUCAAGACAUUUCCAGCCUCUUCGAAGAUUGCUGUCUAAUAUUCAUCUCACCUCCAACAUGAAGUAGCCUUCGUAAGAGUGUUUGGUACUUGUGAUCUUCAUGUGCAUUUCCUGAUGGAUGAACUGAGUCCUACAGGGCUACAGUAUCCUUGAUGUGGCACAUGAGUUGAAGGAGGCCAUGAUAAGGCUUCUACUUGAUGCUUUCUCAAAGAUCUACAAAGCUUUGAAUGAAAACGUGGAUCACGCUUUUGGAAAACUUAGUAGGUAAAAUGCCUCAUGUGAUCCUGGAACAAAGAUGUUUUCUAAUCAGAUUUAUCAAGCUGCAAAGAGGGAGUUUAGCAAACGAACGGAAGCAGCAACAUUCUGUCACCAGGAAACUCUGCUUUAUCCAGAAUUGCGCGUCAAGUAUUUAUUUAAUUAGAACUUUACAAAAUGAAAGUUGAAGUAAUACAUCGGAAGUCAAAUCGGCAACAUCCCCGAUGGUAUGAAGGGACAGAAGACGAUGGUAAUAGUAGUUAUUUUUUUCCUUUUUUUCAUAUUAGUGCCAUGGAAUUUAAGAUUUUCCUAGUGAUUAUAUUAUGAAACAAAAGGGUAGUUCUUAUAUAUGGCCCAUUACAUUGUGAGAGAUUGUGAUUAGCUAUUCUUACUGGUUUCCUGUAGAUGUGUCUGCCUGUCUUGUCUAUGUCUGAAACCUGAAUUUCAGUUUUCUAAUCUUGAAUCUGAGCUGCUCCUAUGUUUAUAGUUUCCAGAAAAAUGCAAUAAAUCCUAGAAUACUUGUAAUUACAUAAUAAUCUUGCUCGUGAACCAUAAAAAUUGCAGUUUUCAUUAGGCAUGCAUGUCUGAUUGCUUGACUUAAAUAUAAGAAUGAUUAUUGAAAAGAAUUAGAAAAGAACAUUAGAAUGAUAGAUGGCUACCUGUUUGUUUUUUAAGUUUCUUAUUGGUCACUAGAAGUAAGCAUGUGAUGUCUACUUAUAGAAUUAGAUGGGAAAAGAAAAACCUGUCUAGCUGCUAGCAAUCAAGUAGGCAAUCUGGGAUAUUUUCAUUUCUGACUAUAUGAUGAAAAUUUAUUAAUAGAAUUGUGUUUUGGAUGCAUUACUAUUGCUUUCUUUUGAAGUACUUUAAAAUUAAAUUAAAAGUUAAAUUUAUAUUGCUGACUUGUGAAUCCUGUUCUGCUGCCUUGAAAAUCUUAAAAAUGGUUACCUUGAAAAAGACAAUAAUCAAAUAGGAUGAUAAUUGCAGUUUCUCUCUCCACAGGAAAUUCACUAAGAUCUCUUAAUCCAUCUUUCUUCCCCUCUUAACACUGAAGAUUUUAAAGAUCGUUUUUCUUAGACAAACAACUAAAUUUGUGAAUAGCACAAGUCAUUUGACUUAAUUAAGUGAUGCCCCCCCUCGCCCCUAAAGCACAUGAAUUUAGCGGCUUUAGUCUUCAAGGACAGAAAACUGGUGACAAAGUCUGAAGAUCUUUCCAGAUCAUUUACACCCUCCUGCUAGCGUGUGUGCACUGACUCAGUUAUUUUCAGCUUUGUAUUGCCUGUAAAUACUUUGGUGAAACAUGGUGAUUUAACAAUGUGGCUAAAAUGCUGCCAUGCUUGAUGGAAAAACAGCCUCACUCUAAAUUUUUAAAUUUCUCUCAUGCCUUUAGAAGCCAAUUUCUCAAGUGACACAUAUGUAAUAGAAGUAGGUUGGAACUUUAAAUGUUAGAAAAUACAUCCCAAAAGAAUUGUUUGAGAACCUCAUGCUUUCAAUUCUAUUUGCUAUUCCUCUGUUCUUAAUUUAUUAGUUUUUCAAUGUAUAUCUAAAAUGAAUGACAUAACAUUGCCCUUAGUUCUCUCCCCUGGGGGGCACUGAAUAUAUUAGCAUUUUUGUAGACUCUUUAAAAAGCUAGUAACGGCAUGCAUAUGUCUUCUUUGUCUUUGGAAACAAUUUCUCUAAUAGUAUUUGAUAAUUGCACGUUCAGGAAUAGAAACACUUUUCCUUUGGGCCCAUUUUCUUCCAUUUCUUUUGGUGUGGUAUACAGCUUUACCCAAUUAAAUUGUUCUUUAGGGAUAUAUAUGUAUGUGUGUACAUAUUGGAUUUGAAGGAAAACAAGUGGCUGUUUGUUCGGGCCCAGAUAAGGCUCACAGUGUUGUUCCUAUGACAACUGAGUGGUUGGGUGUUGAAAUGUAGCUUUAAGUUCCCCGUUUGGAAAUGUCAUUCAGACCUCCCACUACAGUCUCAUUGAGUAGGAGGAUAAUGAGAAGGGGAAAACCAUGAAGCAACAUAAGUAUCUCCAUUCGUUUCAUGUCUUCCUGACUUUGCCUUUGUGUACUGGAUCACCAUGGGAGUGGUAAACAUCAAUCUUGAACAAAGUAUUACUUUAAUAUAAAUAUAAAAAUCAAUUGAAAGUGGUCAGAAAAGCUGGGGAAGAUAAAUAACACCAUAUGGAGAUCAUAAAGAGGUAGGAAAAGUUAGCUUCCCUGGGUUUUUGCAAAUCCUUUUACUGACCAGCAGUGAGAACAUCUUGAACCAGUUAUUGUAUAGCUCUUCAAGAGCUUGCAAAUGUUUCCUUCAAAUGCAAUGUGGGGAAAAUUCUUUUGGUAGCAGCAGGAUGGCUUUACCACUUCAGCAUAACAUUUAUUCACUUCCCUUAGGCUGACUACAGAGGGUUCUGUGUUCUUGCAAGGCACAUGUUCUUAAGCCAGUCAUUCUCUUGUCAUUCAGUAGCCCCCCUUUUUUGCAUGUGAAAACAAGAUGGUGCUAUUAAAAUUAGUGAUGAAACAUCUUACAUUCAGAAAUUACCUCAAAAAACCUUUAAAAGAUUCUUGAGACUUGUUAUUGGAAAUGGAUUGGUGGAUUGAGGAUCUAUUGGAGUGGAAGACUGUUUAGACUAGUAUGUGGCAUUGAUUAAUUUUACAGUUGUGGAUUUUCCAUAACCGAAGGGCUUCCUAUUUUUUACUCCUAAAUGGUUUUGACUAUUUGUUUUUGUUUUGUCACCAUCACCUUUGGAGGUUAGCAACAA